UUCCGGUUGAUCCUGCCGGAGGUCACUGCUAUUGGGAUUCGACUAAGCCAUGCGAGUCGAGAGGGUUCGGCCCUCGGCAGACGGCUCAGUAACACGUGGAUAAUCUGCCCUUAGGUGGAAGAUAACCUCGGGAAACUGAGAAUAAUAUUCCAUAGAUCUAAGAUGCUGGAAUGCACUUAGAUUUAAAGCUUCGGCGCCUAAGGAUGAGUCUGCGGACUAUCAGGUAGUAGUCAGGGUAAAGGCCUGACUAGCCUACGACGGAUACGGGUUGUGAGAGCAAUAACCCGGAGACGAUAUCUGAGACACGAUAUCGGGCCCUACGGGGCGCAGCAGGCGCGAAAACUUCACAAUGUGCGAAAGCACGAUGAGGGAAUCCCAAGUGCUUGCUCGUAAGAGUAAGCUGUUUUUAUGUCUAAAAUGCAUAGAGAGUAAGGGCUGGGUAAGACGGGUGCCAGCCGCCGCGGUAAUACCUGCAGCUCAAGUGGUGACCGCUAUUAUUGGGCCUAAAACGUUCGUAGCCGGUUUAUUAAAUGCCUGGGUAAAUCGUGUAGCUUAACUAUACGAAUUCCGGGUAGACUGAUAGACUUGAGACCGGGAGAAGCUAGAGGUACUCCUGGGGUAGAGGUGAAAUUCUGUAAUCCUGGGGGGACCACCAGUGGCGAAGGCGUCUAGCUAGAACGGGUCUGACGGUGAGGAACGAAGCCCUGGGGCGCAAACCGGAUUAGAUACCCGGGUAGUCCAGGGUGUAAACGCUGCUUGCUUGAUGUUAGUUGGGCUCCGAGCCCAAUUAGUGUCGGAGAGAAGUUGUUAAGCAAGCUGCCUGGGAAGUACGAUCGCAAGAUUGAAACUUAAAGGAAUUGGCGGGGGAGCACAGCAACGGGUGGAGCGUGCGGGUUUAAUUGGAUUCAACGCCGGAA
rnacentral:rRNA from 1 species